rnacentral:rRNA from 1 species
CUGACGAGUGGCGGACGGGUGAGUAAUACGUGGGAAUCUGCCCAGUAGUGGGGGACAACCCGGGGAAACCCGGGCUAAUACCGCAUACGCUCUACGGAGGAAAGCGGGGGAUCUUCGGACCUCGCGCUAUUGGAUGAGCCCACGUCAGAUUAGCUUGUUGGUAGGGUAAAGGCCUACCAAGGCAACGAUCUGUAGCUGGUCUGAGAGGACGAUCAGCCACACUGGGACUGAGACACGGCCCAG